rnacentral:rRNA from 1 species
AGGAAUAUUGGUCAAUGGACGAGAGUCUGAACCAGCCAAGUAGCGUGAAGGAUGACUGCCCUAUGGGUUGUAAACUUCUUUUAUACGGGAAUAAAGUGAGGCACGUGUGCCUUUUUGUAUGUACCGUAUGAAUAAGGAUCGGCUAACUCCGUGCCAGCAGCCGCGGUAAUACGGAGGAUCCGAGCGUUAUCCGGAUUUAUUGGGUUUAAAGGGAGCGUAGGCGGACGCUUAAGUCAGUUGUGAAAGUUUGCGGCUCAACCGUAAAAUUGCAGUUGAUACUGGGUGUCUUGAGUACAGUAGAGGCAGGCGGAAUUCGUGGUGUAGCGGUGAAAUGCUUAGAUAUCACGAAGAACUCCGAUUGCGAAGGCAGCCUGCUGGACUGUAACUGACGCUGAUGCUCGAAAGUGUGGGUAUCAAACAGGAUUAGAUACCCUGGUAGUCCACACAGUAAACGAUGAAUACUCGCUGUUUGCGAUAUACAGUAAGCGGCCAAGCGAAAGCGUUAAGUAUUCCACCUGGGGAGUACGCCGGCAACGGUGAAACUCAAAGGAAUUGACGGGGGCCCGCACAAGCGGAGGAACAUGUGGUUUAAUUCGAUGAUACGCGAGGAACCUUACCCGGGCUUGAAUUGCAACUGAAUGAUGUGGAGACAUGUCAGCCGCAAGGCAGUUGUGAAGGUGCUGCAUGGUUGUCGUCAGCUCGUGCCGUGAGGUGUCGGCUUAAGUGCCAUAACGAGCGCAACCCUUAUCGAUAGUUACCAUCAGGUUAUGCUGGGGACUCUGUCGAGACUGCCGUCGUAAGAUGUGAGGAAGGUGGGGAUGACGUCAAAUCAGCACGGCCCUUACGUCCGGGGCUACACACGUGUUACAAUGGGGGGUACAGAAGGCAGCUACACGGCGACGUGAUGCUAAUCCCUAAAGCCUCUCUCAGUUCGGAUUGGAGUCUGCAACCCGACUCCAUGAAGCUGGAUUCGCUAGUAAUCGCGCAUCAGCCACGGCGCGGUGAAUACGUUCCCG